UACGAAGGGUGCAAGCGUUACUCGGAAUUACUGGGCGUAAAGCGUGCGUAGGUGGUUUGUUAAGUCUGAUGUGAAAGCCCUGGGCUCAACCUGGGAACGGCAUUGGAAACUGGCUUACUAGAGUGCGGUAGAGGGGUGUGGGAAUUCCCGGUGUAGCAGUGAAAUGCGUAGAUAUCGGGAGGAACAUCUGUGGCGAAGGCGACACCCUGGACCAGCACUGACACUGAGGCACGAAAGCGUGGGGGAGCAAACAGG
rnacentral:rRNA from 1 species